rnacentral:rRNA from 1 species
GAUGAACGCUGACAGCAUGCUUAACACAUGCAAGUCUACUUGAACUUCGGUUUGGGUGGCGGCCGGGUGAGUAACGCGUAAAGAACUUGCCUCACAGUUAGGGACAACAUUUGGAAACGAAUGCUAAUACCUGAUAUUAUGAUCUUAGGGCAUCCUAAGAUUAUGAAAGUAAUAUGCACUGUGAGAGAGCUUUGCGUCCCAUUAGCUAGUUGGAGAGGUAACGGCCCUCCCAGGCGAUGAUGGGUAGCCGGCCGGAGAGGGUGAACGGCCACAAAGGGACGGAGUGAGGGCCCGUACAGCUACGGGAGGGAGGAGGGGGGAAGAAUGAACAAAGGACCAAAAGUCUGAUCCAGCAAUUCUGUGUGGACGAUGACGUUGUUCGGAAUGUAAAGAGCUUUCAGUUGGGAAGAAAAAAAUGACGGUACCAACAGAAGAAGCGACGGCUAAAUACGUG